rnacentral:rRNA from 1 species
UACGGAGGGUGCAAGCGUUAAUCGGAAUUACUGGGCGUAAAGCGUGCGCAGGCGGUUUGUUAAGUCCGCUGUGAAAUCCCCGAGCUCAACUUGGGAAUUGCAGUGGAUACUGGCAAGCUGGAGUAUGGUAGAGGAAGGUGGAAUUCCCGGUGUAGCAGUGAAAUGCGUAGAUAUGCGGAGGAACACCGAUGGCGAAGGCAAUCCCCUGGGCCUGCACUGACGCUCAUGCACGAAAGCGUGGGGAGCAAACAGG